UACGAAGGGGGCUAGCGUUGCUCGGAAUCACUGGGCGUAAAGGGUGCGUAGGCGGGUUCUUAAGUUAGAGGUGAAAGCCUGGAGCUCAACUCCAGAACUGCCUUUAAUACUGGGAAUCUUGAGUUCGGAAGAGGUGAGUGGAACUGCGAGUGUAGAGGUGAAAUUCGUAGAUAUUCGCAAGAACACCAGUGGCGAAGGCGGCUCACUGGUCCGAUACUGACGCUGAGGCACGAAAGCGUGGGGAGCAAACAGGG
rnacentral:rRNA from 1 species